GCCAACAGGAGCUGGUAAUCAGGAUGGCAGUGAGGCAGGCACUUGCUUGCAGAAGAACAGGCCUAGUUUUUUAAGAAGCCACAAAAGUGUCUUUGGAUGAUUAGGAUCUAAGGGGCCAACAGCUUUGCAAUAACAGCAUAAAUAUUGUGGGCUGGAUGGACAGGCACCAAAUGGGGACAUUCCAUCCUGCUGUGUGAUGAGAAAGCUGCCACUUUUGAGGCCUUCCAAAACAAAUCAACACUCCAUAUGCCAGAAGGAAAAGCCCAGGAAAGACCUAUUCCAACUGGAGAUGGUGAAUGUCAUUUCUUCAAGAAGCUGAGAUCCAGCUGGUACUGCCAGGUGGAGAGAAUACGAAGGGAGAAUGAAACAAAACUGCUCCGCUUAGGGAACUUGGAAAGGAAAUUGAAAAGGCAAGGCACAGGCUGGAAGAAAAUAUUUGAAAAAGAUUUAUGUGAACUUCUUUCUGGAUUAUACAAAAUAUUUUUAGAUAUUCUUACAACUCUAAAAUAAGAUAACUCCUUAAAAAUCUAAAUUCUACCAAAGGAGAGAUAAAGAUGACGAAUACAUUCAAAGAUGCUGAAAAUCACUUAUUUAUUAUUAGGAAGUUACAAGCUAAAGCAUAAUGAGAUACCACUACAACCUACUAAACUGACUAAAAUUAAUCAGACUAACCAGGUGUUGGCAAGAAACAGGGACACUGAGACUCUCACACUGCUGGAAGGAAUGUAAAAUGCUAAAACUUCUUUGGAAAUGAGUUCAGUAACUUUUUAAACAGUUGAAAAUAGACCUAUCAUGCAAACCAGCAAUCCCACUUCCAGGUAUUUAUACAAGGAAAAUGACAACAUAUGCCCACAUAAAGACUUGUGCACAAAUGACCGUAGCAGCUUUGUGAUAAUUGCUAAAAACUAGAAACUUGUCAAGUGUCCAACAGGAUCGAAUACCAUAAGAGGAAUUCUGGACUGAAGAGUUAUGAAGUCAUUUCAGACACUUCCAGACAAUUUGUGUUAAUUAAAUUCUCACUGGUUGAGUUCCAUUCUACACUGGAAGAGCAUUUUUCCUGGAAAGGCUCCUCAAAAUGUACCUUUGGCAAACACAGAGAGGUAUGCUCAUAGAAGAGGUGAGUUUGGAACUGCAAAUCCUCCCAGCCUCAGGACCUCUCUUUUGGUUGCCUGCUCUGCUACAAAGCUGGAGAUCUAAAGUGGAGGCGUGUAGAAGACACCGUCUGGCUGGACACCAUCAAGAGUCACCUCCUCAGUGAAGCCUUCCAUGGUUUCAUACCACCCAUCCCUAUCGGAAUGAAUGUAUCCUUGUUCUCCGUUAUCCCAGUAUUUUGCCUGGGCUUCUGUCACACUACUUUCAAUGUCUAUACCUCAGUUAUCGAAUCGAAAAACAAGAGUCAUCAGUCUCUAAGGUCCUUGCAAGCUUCAAAACUUUAUAUUUUUGUCAAUUACAACUGAAUAAAGCUGAACAACUUAUUAUUUAUGGAUACUUGCUCAAGCACCAUAUAACUCUUUCAGAUAUUUUAAAAGAAUAUGUUUGCAAAAGACUCCAAAUCAAUGUAUUAAAUUGAAAUCCAGUAUCAAAACACCCAUUAAAGUGCUCUUUUGAAAUUGUACAUUUUAUAUCAAUAAAAUUUCAAAAUAUAAAAACCUCUAUUUUACUUGUUGAAUUCUUAGGAAUAAUAACUAAACAGUUUUAAAAUAUUAGUAGAAAGAUGGUGUCUUU
rnacentral:lncRNA from 1 species